CAUAACACAUUUUUUACCACAUGUGACCGAACAAUGUUAGCAAAAAGAGAUUGGAUAUAUAGGGAUGGUACAGAUAACGUAUAUAUGUCUAACGAUAAUAUAACACCUUGCUUUAAUAGUCAGGUAGCUAAUAUUAAUGAAGACAAAAAUGUAAUGAUUACAAAAUUAAUAAAUUUAUUAAAAACAAAAACUACUGCAAAAAUUGAACAUUAUUUUUUGGAAAUUCAAAACGACGUUGGAGAUUAUUGCAAUAAUAAUGAUAAUGAUAAUGCUAUGCAAAUUAGUGAAGAACGUAAAAACCUUUUUGAAAAUAUAAAUAAAAUAGAUAAAAAUAAUAUACAAAAAAAAAAAAAAAAAAUAGAUAUAAAAAAAAAUGAAGACGAUAGUAUAAUAUCAGAUAAAGACGAAAAUAAAGACAAAAAACAACUAGAUGAAAAUAGCUCGAGUCAUACUUUACUUAUUAACGAAAUAGAUAGUAACAAUGGUAACAUUAGUAGUAGUAACAAUAAUAGUGUUAUUAGUAGUACCGGUAGUAGUUGUUACUUACCUGAACCGAAAGAAGUAUAUUCAUAUUUAUAUAAUCAACACUUAAAUGAAAUUCAUAAAAAUAUGUUCGAAUCAACAUCUAGUGGCAUAAAAUAUAAAUACGAAAAAUGUCAAAAGGAUGAAGAGGAUGAUGAUCAGAGAUUAACGUCAAAUAGCGAAUUUUAUAAUUUGGUAAGUAAUAAGAAUGAAAUGAAUUUUUCUUUUAAACAAAACUUGGUUAUGAAUAACUCGGAAAAAAAUAACCCAACUGGUGAAGUAACGGGAAACGAAGUUAUAUUAACAAACAAACCAGAAAAGUCACUUUUUACUAAAAAUGACGAUACUAAUAGGUUAAAACAAGUUAUUUAUACUACCCCUCUUAAAAAUAAUAACAAUGUUAUAACUGAAAAAAAUGUCGUAGUUAAUAAGAACAUGUUAAGUGAAACGAAUGCCGUGAGUAGUAAAAAAUAUACGAAUUGUGCAAAUUUAUCCAAAACACACAUACCAAAAAAUAAUAAUAACAAGAAUAAAGAAAAAAUGCUUCUUGAGAGUUUUGCUUUAAAAAAACAAAACAAAACAAAAACUGAUUGUGAAAUUGUUAAAAAUAAAUUUAAUAUAUUGUGUGAGUCACAAAAAAAAAUGGCUAAAAUGGAAGCGCAAAAAAGACCAACAACAGUAGCAGAAGCGGUAGUAGAAGGAAAAGCCAAAUCUAAAUCUAAAUCCAAAUCUAAAGGCAAAGCCAAAGCCAAAGCAGAAACAGAAACAGAAACAGAAACGGAAACAACUAAAAAAAUGACAACUACUCAAGCUGUAAUAAAUAAAGAAAAUAAAAAUGAUACUGAACAGUACACAGAACAAAAAUUAAUAGCC
rnacentral:lncRNA from 1 species